rnacentral:misc_RNA from 1 species
GGAAGUAAACAAGGUUUCCGUAGGUGAACCUGCGGAAGGAUCAUUAAUGAGUUGUCAUGGGGUUCGAUGCUGGCAGCCAAUUUUUGGAUGCAUGUGCUUGCCCUAACAAUCAUCUCCAAACACCUGUGCACAUUUUUGAGGGAGUCUUGAGUUGGUUGCCGCUCUUGGGUGAUUUUCUCACAUUCCCUUAAAUCAUUAUACGCUAUUAACAAUGUUGAACGUGCUCUGUGCCGCAAGGCUAUUAAUAUAAUACAACUUUUAACAACGGAUCUCUUGGCUCUC